rnacentral:sRNA from 1 species
GUGGGCCUCAGGAUGGGAGUGGAAACAGAGCCUCUUGUUCACACUCCACACCCUCAUCUUCCAGCAGUGAGGGUAGACUAUUAAGGCUCUCAUGUCAUCAAGGAUCAAGGCAAUGGGUUAAUGGAGACUCUAGACGUUUGUUUCCUCACCAGUGAAAAUUAAAUGAAGACCCAGGAAUCACUACAGCUAUAGGGAUGAGAAGGACAUUUCAGCAGCUAGAGUGUGGUGAAAUGGCCCAAGGAGAAGAGUACAAAGCAACAUAAUGGCAGAGAUGAUGUUCAGAUCUCCAGAUAUUGUGUCCCUGUCUCAGAGUCACCAACAGAACUUAAUUUUUCAUUUCCUUUUGACAAGUGAUGAGCUUGAAGUAUGGCAGGCACACAGGCCUGAGACUGGAAUAUGGCUUCCUACUUCUUCCUCUGCAAAUUAAAGACAGCAAGCCCCAG